UACGAAGGGGGCUAGCGUUGCUCGGAAUCACUGGGCGUAAAGCGCACGUAGGCGGAUUGUUAAGUCAGGGGUGAAAUCCUGGAGCUCAACUCCAGAACUGCCUUUGAUACUGGCGAUCUUGAGUCCGGGAGAGGUGAGUGGAACUGCGAGUGUAGAGGUGAAAUUCGUAGAUAUUCGCAAGAACACCAGUGGCAGAGGCGACU
rnacentral:rRNA from 1 species